rnacentral:rRNA from 1 species
CCUACGGUGGGCUGCAGUGGGGAAUAUUGGACAAUGGGCGAAAGCCUGAUCCAGCCAUGCCGCGUGUGUGAAGAAGGCCUUCGGGUUGUUAAGCACUUUCAGUGGGGAAGAAAGCCUUGGGGCUAAUACCCUCGAGGAAGGACAUCACCCACAGAAGAAGCACCGGCUAACUCCGUGCCAGCAGCCGCGGUAAUACGGAGGGUGCGAGCGUUAAUCGGAAUUACUGGGCGUAAAGCGCGCGUAGGCGGUCUGAUAAGCCGGUUGUGAAAGCCCCGGGCUCAACCUGGGAACGGCAUCCGGAACUGUCAGGCUAGAGUGCAGGAGAGGAAGGUAGAAUUCCCGGUGUAGCGGUGAAAUGCGUAGAGAUCGGGAGGAAUACCAGUGGCGAAGGCGGCCUUCUGGACUGACACUGACGCUGAGGUGCGAAAGCGUGGGUAGCAAACAGGAUUAGAUACCCCGGUAGUC